rnacentral:rRNA from 1 species
UACAGAGGUCCCAAGCGUUACUGAGAAUCACUGGGUUUAAAGGGUGCGUAGGUGGUCCGUUAAGCCAGAUGUGAAAUCCCCGGGCUCAACCUGGGAAUGGCAUUUGGGACUGCAAGGCUGGAGUACGGCAGAGGAGACUGGAAUUCCUGGUGUAGCAGUGAAAUGCGUAGAGAUCAGGAGGAAUACCGAUGGCGAAGGCAGGUCUCUGGGCUGAUACUGACGCUCAUGCACGAAAGCGUGGGGAGCAAACAGG